UGUUCAGAUUAAAUAAUUUCUGUAAACAUUUGUAGACACUGAGGAAAAUUCAUCCAGAUCCUAGAAAAUAGAGCAAAGUUUAAAAUGUUCCUCAGUAACUGUAACAAAUUUUUCUGUGACUAUUCAGCAAAGAAAUUCUAGUACAUAUCUGAAGAGAUUGUAAAAGCAGGAUAGACUUUAGGAGGGUCUUCAGGAAAUGCUCCAUCCAAAUAAUUUUUCAUUGUUAUUGUAAUUCUACAAAUUACAUUUUCAACAAUUAAUCUAUUUUGAACAUGUCAACAAUGAGAGUCAGAUUUGUGUGACUUGGUAUGAUUCACUCUAUUAACUGGUGAGAUCUAGAAACUAUUUUCUGAAAUGAAAACUAAUUGUCUAAACAAUAAGAGUCAUCUUAGGAUGGAGCAUUUCCAAAGGGUUGAGGUUAGGGAGGGUCAGACCCUCCUAAAGUCUCUAUGGUCUUUUACAAAUGUUAUUACUAGAUUUCAUCAAUGUUAAUGAUUAUUCUUUCUGAUGUUUUAACAUCUAUAAAGAAAAGAAUACAGAAAAAUUGACAAAUCGUGAGGAUUUCCUGUUAUGUUUUAUGUUUUGAGUUUGGUUUGGUUCGGUCCGUCUCUCGUUUUUCUCUUCUCUCUGGUUUCCUUUCAGUGUGAUCCUGAAGACGUGGCUCAUCUCCCUGCAGCUCAUUCCAGAUCAUCAGCUCCUCCAUAAAACCUGGACUUUUCUCUGCUCUGGUCCCAGAUUGUUCUGCGCGUUUGAUACUACCUGCUGCUACCUCAGUCCUCCAGAGCUCCAGUGUUUCCUGCGCUCGGCCUUCAGCUCUACCUCGAUCACUCCAGCCGUCCACCCCCAAACCAGCCAGUCGUCAACCUCCACUUAACUUUUGUUCAAAUAAAUCACUCUUUUUACCUUA